UACAGAGGUCCCGAGCGUUGUUCGGAUUCACUGGGCGUAAAGGGUGCGUAGGUGGCGUGGUAAGUUUGAUGUGAAAGCUCAGGGCUUAACCCUGAAAUGGCAUUGAAUACUACUGUGCUGGAGGUGUGGAGGGGGGACUGGAAUUCUUGGUGUAGCAGUGAAAUGCGUAGAUAUCAAGAGGAACACCAGUGGCGAAGGCGAGUCCCUGGACAACACCUGACACUGAGGCACGAAAGCUAGGGGAGCAAACAGG
rnacentral:rRNA from 1 species